GCUUUCCCCAGUUUCCCCAGUGCCCUGAGCACGGUGGUUCCGCAGCCCUUCUCACUGGCCCUGGCCGGGCCUCCCGCGGAGGCAGAUGGAGCGAGCGUUGAAGUCACCAGCUCACUUUUCCACAGAAAGACAAAAAGUUCCAGGCCUCCCGGAAGCUCUGGUUGGAGGACGAUACUCUGCGCGGGCCCGGGGCAGAGCGGUGAUUGGCCAGUCGGGAAAACGAGCCUGGUUCACAACCUCUUGUUGAAGAAUAAAGGAAAGUAGCUGUGAUGGCAAACCAGUGUGGGAGAGAAAAGACCACAGAGCAUUUUUCCAAGGCGGAAAAGCAUCUGGAUGUUUCUUCCCUGUGUGCUUAUCUUGGUCCGUGACCACUGCCUGGGCGUGGGUAUCUCUGCUUCAGUGGGCUAAUUGAGUAUCUAAACAAACCAAUUAAUCACCGGAAUUCGCACAAGACGGACAGGUCUGGAGAGUGUUUUGACUAUGCAAUGAGGACACCUCUGGAGCCCUUGGUAUGUCCCCGGCGGGCCAGCAGGCAUAGCCAAUGUCACUGAAAGACUACAAGGACAUUGAGGGUGGCACUUGGCCACUGCAGCAAUCCCAUACACAGCACACCAAGGACAUAUCUCAUAGGAGGUUUGUUGACUAGCUACGAAACCAACAGCCACCAACUCACACAUCUCCAGGAGCCUGCAGGAAAAUUCUGAAUGUUAGCAGAAGCAUGGAUCAGCUGAGAAAGCUACAGGUUUCCUGUUCCAAAAAUGCUUUUGUUGCUAAUUAAAAUUAGUCUAAUUUUGAAAUGAUCACAUCAUUAAAGAGUAUUUCAACUGAUAUUGAUUUG
rnacentral:lncRNA from 1 species